rnacentral:siRNA from 1 species
UCUCCUAAACCGCGAUUUAACAGU